AAUCUUGCGCAAUGCGCGAAAGCGUGACGCAGCAACGCCGCGUGGGGGAAGACGGCCUUCGGGUUGUAAACCUCUUUCAGUUGGGACGAAGCCUCGUCGGUUAAUAGCCGGCCGAGGUGACGGUACCUUCAGAAGAAGCCCCGGCUAACUACGUGCCAGCAGCCGCGGUAAUACGUAGGGGGCGAGCGUUGUCCGGAUUUAUUGGGCGUAAAAGGCUUGUAGGUGGCCACGCCAAGUCGGGUGUGAAAUCUCCCGGCUCAACUGGGAGGGGUCAUUCGAUACUGGCGGGCUCGAGGCCGGUAGGGGGAAGUGGAAUUCCCGGUGUAGUGGUGGAAUGCGUAGAUAUCGGGAGGAACACCAGUGGCGAAGGCGGCUUCCUGGACCGGUUCUGACACUGAGGAGCGAAAGCGUGGGGAGCGAU
rnacentral:rRNA from 1 species